UACGUAGGGUGCAAGCGUUAAUCGGAAUUACUGGGCGUAAAGCGUGCGCAGGCGGUUCGCUAAGACAGAUGUGAAAUCCCCCGGGCUUAACCUGGGAACUGCAUUUGUGACUGGCGGGCUAGAGUAUGGCAGAGGGGGGUAGAAUUCCACGGUGUAGCAGUGAAAUGCGUAGAGAUGUGGAGGAAUACCGAUGGCGAAGGCAGCCCCCUGGGCCAAGAUUGACGCCUCAUGCACGAAAGCGUGGGGAGCAA
rnacentral:rRNA from 1 species